CAGCAGUAGGGAUCUUCCGCAAUGGACGAAAGUCUGACGGAGCAACGCCGCGUGUAUGAAGAAGGUUUUCGGAUCGUAAAGUACUGUUGUUAGAGAAGAACAAGGAUAAGAGUAACUGCUUGUCCCUUGACGGUAUCUAACCAGAAAGCCACGGCUAACUACGUGCCAGCAGCCGCGGUAAUACGUAGGUGGCAAGCGUUGUCCGGAUUUAUUGGGCGUAAAGCGCGCGCAGGCGGUCUUUUAAGUCUGAUGUGAAAGCCCCCGGCUUAACCGGGGAGGGUCAUUGGAAACUGGAAGACUGGAGUGCAGAAGAGGAGAGUGGAAUUCCACGUGUAGCGGUGAAAUGCGUAGAUAUGUGGAGGAACACCAGUGGCGAAGGCGACUCUCUGGUCUGUAACUGACGCUGAGGCGCGAAAGCGUGGGGAGCAAACAGGAUUAGAUACCCUGGUAGUCCACGCCGUAAACGAUGAGUGCUAAGUGUUAGGGGGUUUCCGCCCCUUAGUGCUGCAGCUAACGCAUUAAGCACUCCGCCUGGGGAGUACGACCGCAAGGUUGAAACUCAAAGGAAUUGACGGGGGCCC
rnacentral:rRNA from 1 species